rnacentral:rRNA from 1 species
UGGGGAAUAUUGGACAAUGGGGGAAACCCUGAUCCAGCAAUGCCGCGUGAGUGAUGAAGGCCUUAGGGUUGUAAAGCUCUUUUACCAGGGAUGAUAAUGACAGUACCUGGAGAAUAAGUUCCGGCUAACUCCGUGCCAGCAGCCGCGGUAAUACGGAGGGAACUAGCGUUGUUCGGAAUUACUGGGCGUAAAGCGCGCGUAGGCGGCAUGAUAAGUCAGGGGUGAAAUCCCGGGGCUCAACCCCGGAACUGCCCUUGAAACUAUCAAGCUAGAAUGUCGGAGAGGUAAGUGGAAUUCCGAGUGUAGAGGUGAAAUUCGUAGAUAUUCGGAAGAACACCAGUGGCGAAGGCGACUUACUGGACGAUGAUUGACGCUGAGGUGCGAAAGCGUGGGGAGCAAACAGGAUUAGAUACCCCCGUAGUCC